AUGAACGCUGGCGGCGUGCCUAAUACAUGCCAGUCGAGCGAACGGACGAGAAGCUUGCUUCUCUGAUGUUAGCGGCGGACGGGUGAGUAACACGUGGAUAACCUACCUAUAAGACUGGGAUAACUUCGGGAAACCGGAGCUAAUACCGGAUAAUAUUUUGAACCGCAUGGUUCAAAAGUGAAAGACGGUCUUGCUGUCACUUAUAGAUGGAUCCGCGCUGCAUUAGCUAGUUGGUAAGGUAACGGCUUACCAAGGCAACGAUGCAUAGCCGACCUGAGAGGAUGAUCGGCCACACUGGAACUGAGACACGGUCCAGACUCCUACGGGAGGCAGCAGUAGGGAAUCUUCCGCAAUGGGCGAAAGCCUGACGGAGCAACGCCGCGUGAGUGAUGAAGGUCUUCGGAUCGUAAAACUCUGUUAUUAGGGAAGAACAUAUGUGUAAGUAACUGUGCACAUCUUGACGGUACCUAAUCAGAAAGCCACGGCUAACUACGUG
rnacentral:rRNA from 1 species